rnacentral:rRNA from 1 species
UACGUAGGGUGCAAGCGUUAAUCGGAAUUACUGGGCGUAAAGCGUGCGCAGGCGGUGAUGUAAGACAGAUGUGAAAUCCCCGGGCUCAACCUGGGAACUGCAUUUGUGACUGCAUCGCUGGAGUGCGGCAGAGGGAGGUGGAAUUCCACGUGUAGCAGUGAAAUGCGUAGAGAUGUGGAGGAACACCGAUGGCGAAGGCAGCCUCCUGGGCCAGCACUGACGCUCAUGCACGAAAGCGUGGGGAGCAAACAGG